rnacentral:rRNA from 1 species
AUUGAACGCUGGCGGCAGGCCUAAUACAUGCAAGUCGAGCGAGCGGCGGACGGGUGAGUAAUGUCUGGGAAACUGCCUGAUGGAGGGGGAUAACUACUGGAAACGGUAGCUAAUACCGCAUACCAUCAGAUGUGCCCAGAUGGGAUUAGCUCGUAGGUGGUGUAACGGCCCACCUAGGCGACGAUCCCCAGCUGGUCUGAGAGGAUGACCAGCCACACUGGAACUGAGGCACGGUCCAGACUCCUACGGGGGGCAGCAGUGGGAAAUAUUGCACAAUGGGCGCAAGCCUAAUGCGGCCAUACCGCGUGUGUGAAGAAGGCCUUCGAAUUGUAAAGCACUUUCAGCGGGGAGGCGUUACCCGCAGAAGAAGCACCGGCUAACUCCGUGCCAGCAGCCGCGAUAAUAC